UUUGGUUACCCAAGGUGCUUGUUUCUAACGUGAAAGGACCUAAGACUGAUUGGGUACCUAAGAACAAGGCUUAAAACUAUUUUUCAGGUUUAUGCAUCCCGGGGCUCAUGUUGGAUAAUUGAUAGCAGAUGCACAAACCACAUGAGAGGGGAGAAAAGAAUGUUCUUCCUCCUACGAGAAAAACGAAGAUCCCUAACGAGCUAUCACAUUCGGGGAUGGAAAUCAAGGUUUGGUCAAAGGACUUUGUAAAAUUGCUAUAUCACCUGACCAUUCUAUUUCCAAUAUUUUUCUUGUAGAUUCUUUAGAUUAUAACUUGCUUUCAGUUUCUCAAUUAUGCAAAAUGGGUUACAACUGUCUUUUUACGGAUAUAGGUGUUACUGUCUUUAGAAGAAGUGAUGAUUCAAUAGCAUUUAAGGAAGUAUUAGAGGGUCAGCUAUACUUAGUUCAUUUUAACAAAGCUGAACUCGAUACUUGCUUAAUUGCUAAGACUAAUAUGGGUUGGCUCUGGCAUCGCCGACUAGCCCAUGUUGGAAUGAAGAAUCUUCACAAGCUUCUAAAGGGAGAACACAUUUUGGGACUAACAAAUGUUCAUUUUGAGAAAGACAGGGUUUGUAGCGCAUGUCAGGCAGGAAAGCAAGUUGGCUCCCACCAUCCACACAAAAACAUAAUGACAACAGACAGACCACUGGAGUUACUCCACAUGGAUCUAUUCGGCCCGAUAGCUUAUAUAAGCAUCGGCGGGAGUAAGUACUAUCUAGUAAUUGUGGAUGAUUAUUCUCGCUUCACUUGGAUACUCUUUUUGCAGGAAAAAUCACAAACCCAAGAGACUUUAAAGGGAUUCUUGAGAUGGGCUCAAAAUGAGUUCGGAUUGAGAAUCAAAAAGAUUAGAAGUGAUAAUGGAACGGAGUUCAAGAACUCUCAAAUCGAAGGCUUUCUUGAGGACGAGGGCAUCAAGCAUGAGUUCUCUUGUAGUGGAGAGGAAGAAUAGAACUCUACUAGACAUGGCAAGGACCAUGCUUGAUGAGUACAAGACUCCGGACCGGUUUUGGGCUAAGGCGAUUAACACCGCCUGCUACUCCAUCAACAGGUUAUAUCUUCACCGAAUCCUCAAGAAGACAUCAUAUGAACUCCUCACUGGUAAAAAGCCCAAUGUUUCAUAUUUUAGAGUCUUUGGUAGCAAAUGUUUUAUUCUUAUUAAAAGAGGUAGAAAAUCUAAAUUUACUCUGAAGGCUGUAGAAGGCUUUUUACUUGGUUAUGACUCAAACACAAGGGCAUAUAUAGAGUCUUCAACAAAUCCACUGGAUUAGUUGAAGUUUCUUGUGACAUUGUGUUUGAUGAGACUAAUGGCUCCCAAGUGGAGCAAGUUGAUCUUGAUGAAUUAGAUGAUGAAGAGGCUCCGUGCAUCGCGCUAAGGAACAUGUCCAUUGGGGAUGUGUGUCCUAAGGAAUUCGAAGAGCCCACACAAGCACAAGAUCAACCGUCAUCUUCCAUGCAAGCAUCUCCACCAACUCAAGAUGAGGAACAGGCUCAAGACAAUGAAGAUCAGGAGGAUGAGCCACCUCAAGAGGAGGACAAUGAUCAAGGGGGAGAUGAAGACAAGGAAGAUGAGCAGGAGAUACAGGGUCAACGACCGCCACACCCAAGAGUCCACCAAGGGAUUUAAAGAGAUCACCCCGUGAACUCAAUUCUCGGUGACAUUCAUAAGGGGUAACUACUCGAUCUCGAGUCGCUCAUUUUUGUGAACAAUACUCUUUUGUGUCCUCUAUUGAGCCAUACAGGGUGGAGGAUGCAUUAAAAGAUUUGGAUUGGGUGUUAGCAAUGCAAGAGGAGCUCAACAACUUCACGAGGAAUGAGGUAUGGCAUUUAGUUCCACGUCCUAAUCAAAAUGUUGUAGGUACCAAAUGGGUAUUCCGCAACAAGCAAGAUGAGCAUGGUGUGGUGACAAGGAACAAAGCCCGACUUGUGGCCAAGGGUUAUUCACAAGUCGUAGGUUUGGAUUUCGGUAAAACCUAUGCACCCGUAGCUAGGCUUGAGUCAAUUCGUAUAUUACUUGCCUAUGCUACUUACCAUGGCUUCAAGCUUUAUCAAAUGGAUGUGAAAAGUGCCUUCCUCAAUGGACCAAUCAAGGAAGAGGUCUAUGUUGAGCAACCUCCCAGCUUUGAAGAUAGUGAGUACCCUAACCAUGUUUAUAAACUCUCAAAGGCGCUUUAUGGGCUCAAGCAAGCCCCGAGAGCAUGGUAUGAAUGCCUUCGAGAUUUUCUUAUCACUAAUGGCUUCAAAGUCGGAAAAGCCGAUCCUACACUCUUUACUAAAACUAUUGCAAAAGAUUUGUUUGUAUGCCAAAUUUAUGUUGAUGAUAUCAUAUUUGGGUCUACUAACAAAUCUACUUGUGAAGAGUUUAGUAGGAUCAUGAUACAGAAAUUCGAGAUGUCUAUGAUGGGGGAGUUGAAGUAUUUCCUAGGAUUUCAAGUCAAGCAACUCCAAGAUGGCACCUUCAUCAGCCAAACAAAAUACAUACAAGACAUACUUACCAAGUUUGGAAUGAAGGAUGCCAAGCCCAUCAAGACACCCAUGGGAACAAAUGGGCAUCUCGACCUCGACACGAGAGGUAAAUCCGUAUAUCAAAAUGUAUAUCGGUCGAUGAUAGGAUCUUUACUCUAUUUGUGUGCAUCUCGACCAGAUAUUAUGCUUUCUGUAUGCAUGUGUGCAAGGUUCCAAGCCGAUCCUAAGGAAGUUCACCUUAGGGUCGUAAAAAGAAUCAUGAGAUAUUUAGUUUACACUCCUAAGUUUGUACUUUGGUACCCCAAGGGAUCCACUUUUGAUUUAAUAGGAUAUUCAAAUGCUGAUUGGGCGGGUUGUAAAAUUGAUAGGAAGAGCACAUCAGGGACUUGUCAGUUUCUGCGAAGAUCCCUGGUGUCUUGGGCUUCAAAGAAACAAAACUCCAUAGCUCUUUCUACCGCCGAAGCCGAGUAUAUUGUCGCAGGCCAUUGUUGUGCGCAAUUACUUUGGAUGAGGCAAACCCUCAGGGACUAUGGCUACAAAUUGAGCAAAGUCCCUCUCCUAUGUGACAAUGAGAGUGCAAUUCGCAUGGCGGAUAAUCCCGUUGAACACAGCCGCACUAAGCACAUAGACAUUCGAUAUCACUUUUUGAGGUAUCACCAACAAAGGGGGAUAUCGAGAUAGCUUAUGUUAGCACCAAAGAACAAUUAGCUGAUAUCUUUACCAAGCCAUUAGAUGAGAAAACCUUUAGCAAACUUAGGAAUGAGCUAAAUAUACUUGAUUCUCGGAUUUUUGAUUGAAACUUUGCACACAUAGCUCAUUGAUAUACCUUUGAUUUGCUACGACUAAUGUAUUUUCAAGUAUAUUCUUACAAUAAGUCAUAGAUUGAAAGGGAAAUGGAGUUCUUCGGCGAAGACAAGGCUUCAACUCCACUCUACUGAUAUCACUUACCCUUCGCCAUCACUCCACAUAACUCUCCAAAUUGGUAUAAUCUUUCACUCGUAUCUACUUGUACCAAUGGGGAGAAAGUAAACAGGGCUCACAAAAGUCUCCGUUUUUGGCGAUUAAUGCCAAAGGGGGAGAAAGUAUUAGCCCAAAAGCAAAAGGACCGCAUCACCACCUUUCGAAAAAUUUUAAUUGAUAUAUUUCAAAUUGGUAUGUUUACCUUCAAUUGGUAUAUUUUCAAAACUAACAUCUCAAUAUAUUUCCAAUUGAUAUCUAUUAAAACUCUCUUGAAAGCUAAGAGGAGAAUUUCAUUAGGGGGAGUUUUGUUUAGUCAAAGGAAAAGCAUUUGAAACAGGGGGGGAAAUUUGAAAUCUUGAAAAUGCUUCUUACAAUCUUAUUCAUAUACCUUUGACUAAAAACAUUUUCCAAAAGAAUUUUCAAAAACGAAACAAGUGGUGCAAGUGUGGUCCAAAAUGUUAAAUAAAAGAAAGCAAACCAUGCAUAUCUAGUGAAAGUAUAAUUUGGUUUAAUUCUAAGUAACCUAUGCACUCACCUUAUGCAAACUAGUUCAAUUCUGCACUUAUAUAUAUUUGCUUUAGUUUGUGUUGGCAUCAAUCACCAAAAAGGGGGAGAUUGAAAGGGAAAUAGGGUUAACCUUUUCCCAGUAUUAAUUUUGGUGGUUGAAAUGCCCAACACAAAUAUUGGACUAACUAGUUUGCUCUAGAUUAUAUAUUCUACAGGUGCAUAAAGGUUGAACACAAACCAAUAAAAGAACAAAGUUAGAGUUCAAAAUUAAAGGAGCAAAGGAACCAAGGGUGCCCUGGUGCACCAGGACCGUACAACUCCAAACUCGCCACCCUCGGGUUUUUCUGGGCGUGCUCCGCUAUAAUUCACCGGACUGUCCGGUGCACCAGCGGAGCAACGGCUACUUCGCGGAACGGUCGCCUGCAAAAGCUGAAUUCGAGAUGAACAGUGCGCAAACAGUGCGCGGCAGAGCAGAGCAGCCGUCAGAGGCGCACCGGACAAUGAACAGUACCUGUCCGGUGCCACUAGAAGACAAAGCCUCCAACGGUCGUCUGCGCCCGAACCCUAACGGUUGGUUGGGUGACGUGGCUAGCGCACCCGACAGUGUCUGGUGGCGCACCGGACUGUCCGGUGCGCCCAUCGACAGCAGCCCCUCCCCAACGGUUGUUUGGUGGUUGAGGGCUAUAAAUACCCAUCAACUACGUCCACUCCAACCAUCCAAGCAUUCACCACACUUCAUUCAAUACAAGAGCAAAGUGCAACACUCCAAGACACAAAUCAAAGCCACCGAUCCAAUCAAAGUCUCCAAUUCAAUUCUAGUGCUUUAGGACUUAAGAGAGGAUCGUUCUUGUGUUUCUUUGUUGCUCUUGUUGCUUGGUUGGCUUUCUUCUUUCUCUCAUUCUUAUUCUCAAAGCCUUGUAAGCGAAGCAAGAGACACCAAUCGUGUGGUGGUCCUUGCGGGGUCUAAGUGACCUGAGAAAUCAAGGAAGAAAGCUCACUCAGUCUAAGUGACCGUUUGAGAUAGGGAAAGGGUUGAAAGAGACCCGGUCUUUGUGACCACCUCAACGGGUACUAGGUUCUUUAGAAUCAAACCUCGGUAAAAAAAAUCACCGUGUCCAUCCGUUUUAUUUCUUAGUUGAUUUGUUUUCCCCUCUCUCCUGGACUUGAUAUUUGUUCUAACGCUAACCCCGGCUUUUAGUGUGUUUAAAGUUAUAAAUUUCAGUUUCUGCCUAUCCACCCCCCUCUAGGUGACUUUCACUAACAAAUCAACUUGUGAAGAGUUUAGUAGGAUCAUGAUACAAAAAUUUGAGAUGUCUAUGAUGGGGGAGUUGAAGUAUUUCCUUGGAUUUCAAAUCAAGCAACUCCAAGAGGGCACCUUCAUCAGCCAAACAAAGUACAUUCAAGACAUGCUUAAGAAGUUUGGGAUGAAGGAUGGCAAACCCAUCAAGACACCCAUGGGAACCAAUGGGCAUCUCAACCUCGACACGAGAGGUAAAUCCGUAGAUCAAAAGGUAUACUGGUCGAUGAUAUGAUCUUUACUCUAUUUAUGUGCAUCUCGACCAGAUAUUAUGCUUUCUGUAUGCAUGUGUGCAAGAUUUUAGGCCGAUCCUAAGGAAGUUCACCUUAGGGCCGUGAAAAGAAUCAUGAGAUACUUAGUUUACACUCCUAAGUUUGGGCUUUGGUACCCCAAGGGAUCCACCUUUGAUUUAAUAGGAUAUUCCGGUGCCGAUUGGGCAGGGUGUAAGAUUGAUAGGAAGAGCACAUUAGGGACUUGUCAGUUUCUAAGGAGAUCCCUGGUGUCAUGGGGUUCAAAGAAACAAAACUCAGUAGCUCUUUCCACCACCGAGGCUGAGUAUAUUGCCACAGGCCAUUGUUGUGCGCAAUUACUUUAGAUAAGGCAAACCCUCAGGGACUAUGGCUACAAUUGAGCAAAGUCCCUCUCCUAUGUGAUAAUGAGAGUGCAAUCCGCAUGGCGGAUAAUCCCGUUGAACACAGCCGCACUAAGCACAUAGACAUUCGGUAUCACUUUCUGAGGGAUCACCAACAAAGGGGGAUAUCAAAAUAGCUUAUGUAAACACCAAGAAUCAAUUAGCUGAUAUCUUUACCAAGCCAUUAGAUGAGAAAACCUUUAGCAAACUUUGGAAUGAGCUAAAUAUACUUGAUUCUCGGAAUUUUGAAUGAAACAUUGCACACAUAGCUCAUUUAUAUACCUUUGAUCAUGUCUCUUUCAUUUAGUACAAAUGCAUAUUUCUUAUUAUUUAUGUACCAAGGCUACGACUAAUGUGUUUUCAAGUAUAUUUCUAUACUAAGUCGUAGAUUGAAAGGGAAAUGGAGUAUUUGGCGAAGACAAGGCUUCCACUCUAACGGUAUCAUUAAUCCUUCGUCGCUACUCCGCACACUGCAAAUUUGUAUAAUCCUUUACUCUUAUUUACUUGUACCAAUGGGGAGAAAAUAUUAAAAGGCUCUCAACAUCUCCGUUUUUGGCGAUUAAUACCAAACGGGGAGAAAUAUUAAGCCCAAAGCAAAAGGACCGCACCACCAUGAUUUCAAAAUUUUCAAAAUAAAGCUUUAAUUGAUAUUUGGCAAUUUCUCAAUUGGUAUCCAUGCUUCACUUAUCUUGAGAAAGCAAAAUUUCAAUUGGUAUAAAGUUUUAAAUUGGUAUUUUUCACAUUGGUAUCUAUGAUGAAAACCCCUUCAAUUGGUAUCUUUAGAAGUUCAUCUUUAAAUUGGUAUCUAUUUUAAAACCCUCUUGAAAGCUAAGAGGAGAAUUUCAUUCAGGGGAGUUUUGUUUAGUCAAAGGAAAAGCAUUUGAAAUAGGGGAGAAAUUUCAAAUCUUGAAAAUGCUUCUUGCAAUCUUAUUCAUAUACCUUUGACUAUUUGCAAAAAGACUUUGAAAAGAUUUUCCGAAAGAAUUUGCAAAAACAAAACAGGUGGUGCAAAUGUGGUCCAAAAUGUUAAAGAAAAGAAAAGCAAUUCAUUCAUAUCUAGUAAGAUUAUCAAUUGGUUUAAUUCCAAGUAACCUAUGCACUUACCUUAUGCAAACUAGUUCAUUUCUGCACUUUAUCUAUUUGCUUUGGUUUGUGUUGGCAUCAAUCACCAAAAAGGGGGAGAUUGAAAGGGAAAUAGGGUUAACCUUUUCCUACAAUUAAUUUUGGUGGUUGAAUGUCCAACACAAAUAUAUGGACUAACUAGUUUUCUCUAGAAUACAUGUUCUACAGGUGCAUAAGGUUCAACACAAACCAAUAAAUAUUCAAGUUAGGGACCCAAUUCAAAAGGAGCAAAAAAGGACUUGAGUGUGCUGUGGUCUGGCGCACAGGACUGUCUGGUGUGCCACCGAACAGUGUACGGUGCACCAGGACCGUAUAGGGUCUAACCAGCUACUCUCAGGAAAACGCGGGCGCGCUCCGCUAUAAGUCACCGGACUGUCCGGUGUGCCACCGGGAAACGACUAUCCAGCACGCAACAGUCGACUCUGACAGGAGCUACAAUGAGCAACAGUGUCACACAGAAGUCAGAGCAGCGAAGUUAGAGGGGCACCGGACUGUCCCGUGUGGCACCGGACUGUCCGGUGCCGCAAGAGGACAAAGCUCCAACGGUCGCCCGAGCUCCGAACCCUAACGGUUGGGUGACGUGGCAGCGCACCGGACAGCCUACAGUGCUUGUCCGGUGGCGCACCGGACUGUCCGGUGUGCCCAUCGCCAGCAGCCUCCCCAACAGCUACGUUGGUCGUUGAGGGUUAUAAAUACCCCCAACCACCACAACUCCAAGCAUCCAAGUUGUCUGAACAUCACAUUCAAUACAAGAGCUCUAGCAUUCACUCCAAGACACAAUACAAAAUGUCAAAUCCUCUUCGAGUCCCAAAUUCACUCCAAACACUUGGUGGCUUGUGUGACAGAGAUUUUUGUGUUCAUUUGAGUUCUUGUCGCUUGGAUUGGCUUUCUUCUUUUCCCAUUCUUAUUCUCAAGAGCUUUGUAAGCGAGGCAAGAGACACCAAGUGUGUGGUGGUCCUUGCGGGGUCUUAGUGACCCGUGAGAUUAAGGAAGAAGGCUCACUCGGUCUAAGUGACCGUUUGAGAGAGGGAAAGGGUUGGAAUAGACUCGGUCUUUGUGACCUCCUCAAUGGGGACUAGGUUCUUUGGAACCAAACCUCGGUAAAACAAAUCAUUGUGUUCAUCCGCUUGAUUUUCAUUUGAUUUGCUUUCCCCCUCUCUCUCCCGGACUUGUUAUUUGUUCUAACACUAACCCCGGCUUGUAGUGUGUGAUUAAAGUUGUAAAUUUCAGAUUACGCCUAUUCACCCCCCCCUCUAGGCGACUUUCAAUUUUCACUAUGCAUAUAAACAAUUUAUCAUUAUGGUCAAUCAAUCUAUUUGUAUCGUAUUAGUCAUAUGAACUGAAAGAAAGAAAAGCAAGUGAAAUGACGGAAUGGAAAUGAAGCCACUUGAACUAUUCUUAAUGAGUACAAACAUUGCAGGAAUAAAUGAGUCAGGGUGUUUGGUUUCUAGGGACUAAUUUUAGUCCCACUAUUUUAUUUUAUUUUAGUCACUAAAUUGCCAAAGUUUCCAUAUUUGCAAUUUAUGGAAUAAGGGGAUGUUUGGGAUGGCUUCAGGUUCCAGCUCCAGCGUGGAGCUGUAGUUUAUAAUAUAAUUUAAAUAGUUUUAAAGAUAUUUUUAGUCUAAAUAAUAAAUAAAAUGGCUUACCUAACUAUCAUUUAAAGGCUUCUAGUCGGUUACCCGUGCGUUGCGACGGCUCACAACAAUACCCACAUAAAUUAUCCACCAAAAAGAUCUCAAGAUUUUUUAUUGAUUAUCUCCGCUCUUCAUAUAAUAUUUUUUAUGAACGCACGGGUACCAUAGGUAGCAAAUCAGAGACCCCCAUCCCUCGCCUCCCCACUUGCAAGGUUUCGUAGAGCAGGAGGGGAAGGGAAGAGGCAGACAUACCUGUUCGUUGCUAGAGAAAGACACGACGAAGACAUGGGCAUUUGGAUGCGACAUAGGUAGUACACCGCUAGAUAUAUAGGGAGAGAGCACGCAAGCGGAGAAAGAAGCCCAGCCGGAGCAGCUCCAAACCGAGAGGCACCCGCACUAGGCGUCAAUCCGAAAAGGGCGAGAGAAUGCGAGUGUCUUUCCAGCCCUGGACCCGCCGAAGCGACACAACAACACCACCAACUAUGUAGCAUAUGCUGACUGCUGCCACGCUACGGGCCUUGGUUGUCCAAUAUCUCAGACCUGGACUCCUCAUCGCCAAGAUAACCUAAGCGUGGCAGGCGCCACUAUGUCCUCCUUGACGGCACGCACAGAGAAAGGCCAGAAGCAUGACUGACUCGCCCCGUACCUGCGUCGGCGAGCGUCGGUCGGCUCGCGGCUACGACCGUGGGCGAGGGCAGCAGGUUGGGGAAGAAGAACCGGGCGAAGUCCAGGAAGAUGAACGGGACGUCCGACGACGACGAAAACGAUGGUGCGCGCAUGAUGUGAAACGUCCUCGUGGACGUGCAAUAGCCACUGCGCGAGUCGGUGUCGAGGCUGGUGUCGGACGAAUACGGGUAGGAGGCGCAUGCUCCUACGCCCUCUGCCGAGAAUGGGGUGGCGCAGAGGUGGAGGCAUGAGGGGAGAGAGAAAUUAAGUAGAAUGGCGAAUGAGGUGGUGACAACUGAGGCGAGGACCAUCAUUAUCGUGUGGAGGUAUAGAUGGCCAACUGGGUUGUGUCUGGCGAGCCGGCCCGAGGCACGACCCAUUUAAUAGUGCCUGGGCCAACUCGGCGCGAGCGCCGUGCUGUGCUUGGGUUGUAGCCUCGGCCCGACACGAUUAUUUUUUUAUUACAAAAAAUCAUAUAUACAUAUGUACAAUUUAUAUUCAAUAUUAUAAAUACCUAAGCAUGAUGUUUUACUGGUUAGACAGCUUCGUCCAGUGUCUCACACCAUUCUUCCAUCAAGGUGUGGGUUCAAACACCACCUCCUACAUCCCUUUUUAACAUAACCCACCUCCCGCACCGCUUUUUGACAUUUUACGCUGAGUUAUUUAGAAGAAAUGUAGAGACUUUUUUGUAAAAAGUUGACGCAGGACGACCGUUGAAACUGUUGCUUUAAGUAUAGUAGAGAUAACUCGAUCUCCAUGAUUUUCUAAAGCACCUAAUGACCUGCUCCAGGAACUCCACUAAAUUUUCUAGAGCUGCAGUUAUCCAAACAAGACCUAAAAUAGAACAAAAUGGAGGGACUAAAAAUUAGUUACUAAACCAAACACCCCUUAGUUCUGAGAAGUUUUAGGUGUAGGUCUCGUUCUGAUAGAAAAGGUAGUAGUACAAUUUUACAAAGCAGCAACAAUGUCUGUCCUAAUGCCGCGACUACAAAACUAAACAUGUUCAACCGUCGGAUCGAGUUAAGGUUGGAUCAUGGGUCAUUUAACAUGGCCCGUAUUCGACCCGUGUCUAGUAUCGGGUCAAGUUGGUUCGUGUCUUCUUGUUUGACGUGCCAAGUCGAGUUUUUCUAUGUUGGGUCAGAUUUUAAGUAAUAACCAUGGCCUAUACCCAGCCGUAAAUUAUUGUUGGUGAAAAAUUAUGACCCGUGAUCAUUUAUUAUAUUAGUUUGGAUCAGAUGCAGCCAAGUUUUUUUCGAAUCGAUUGAGUCUGGUUGGUUGGAUCAUGUGGCCAGGUCUAGCCGAAACAAGCCGGAGAUUGAUCCGCCACAUGCCCACAUCGGACUAGGACCAGCCGAACAACCAUUCCCAAUUUCUCCGCCGCCAAGGCACGAAGCCGGAGCACGAUGGCAGCCACCACGAAUCGGUUUCCCCCACGCCAUGUCCUCCCCCUGCAUCUCGCACCAGUGCACCACCAGCAGGUCCGUCUCCGUCUCCGAGCUGCCGGACGCCUUCCCGCCCCAGACACGGCCUCGUUCUGAAUUCUAUCCACUGGAUUCUUUUGGUACCAAUGUGGUAUAUAUCUUUGUUCAGAGCAUACAAUGAGUAGAUGAGAUUGGCAGCUGAUUUUUAUCAUCACAAGAUUGUCGCCUUGAAUUUUGAGGAGAAUAUAACUCUCUGUUAGUCAGGUCAUCGAAGGCCGAGCUAUUUUUCACAUUCUCAGUUAUAUAAUAGUUUCAGGUUAAUAGCGGAUUAUCAUUUUCUAAUUUCAGAACAAAGCAGUUUGAUGAAUUUACCUCAAGGCUGCUAGAAAUUCAUGAUAAGAUGAUGUCUAUAAAUACGAAAGAGGAUAUACACUUAGGAUUGCACCGGUCUGACUAUAUGCUGGAUUCUUAAACCAAUUCACUACUUCAAAUUGAGCUCAACACUAUCCCAUCAUCCUUUCCUGGCCUUGGCUCCUUUGUCAGUGAACUUCAAAGGUUGUACAAAAUGAUAUUCCACCAGAAAGCAUGGAUGCCAUGCGCCCGGUGCAGUAGCUCCUACCAACACGGACAAGCACUCCAGCGUCCAAAAUGAAUAAUCUUCCAAAGGAUGCACAUAACAUGGAAGUGUCUACACCAGUACCCACAAUAAAUCCGGAAGGAAAUGAUGAGGACGAGACUCCAAAGAACACUGUCUCUAGAAAUGGUGGUUUCCUGCAGAAUGCAGUUGGCCAAGACCUAGUCCAUCUUGGCGUUGCAAGAACAGCAAGUGGUGACCCUUCGGCUGUCGCUUCCGGUGUUAGCACUGGACACCAGCACAACAGAAUGGAUCUUGAUCCAGCAUCCAGCAACGUGGAUAAUUUCAAAACAUCAGAAUUUACAAAAAAAAACGAUCUCCAGGAGUAGGGGAAAGGAGAGAGUAGUAUGUAUGAUGAGAGGCAACCUAAGAGAAGGAAGCGGGCCCUUAUGAAUAAUGAGAAAAUAGAUGAAUUAGAGAAGGCUCUAGUAGAUGAGCCUGAGAUGCACAAAAACCCUGUUCUAUUGCAGAGUUGGUCAGAGAAGUUAAGUUUGUCGGUAAUUUUUUCACUUUGGGGCAUUCUAUUCUUAGGUCUUAAUUGCUGAAUGCAUUCUCAUUUAUGGAAAAUACGGCCGUGCUUUUGUAGGGCCCAGAGAUCACAACAUCACAACUUAAAACUGGUAAAACUGUGUAUCUUAACCGUUGUUUGAAGUUUCUUUCUUCAAAUUGAUAAUAAUGUUUUUUGUGCUUCUCAUCUAAAGCUAUUUGUAACAGUGUUUUCUCGUGCAAUUUCUAGGUUGAACAUCCGGAAAGCUAAGCUUGCUCGCAUUGCAAAAGAAAGGGCGGAGAAUGCUGAUAAACCAUCUACUCCCCAUCCCGGUGAGUCUUCAGAAAGUGCCGGGGAGGACAACUAUCUACCCCCUGCAGGUGUGAUGACUGCUCUAUCCAAAGGUGGUAGCCUGUUGAGCCCGGACAGCACUGAGCAAACGUCGCAGGCAGAGCUAUCCCCGAACACGACGAUGAUGGUACGUCCAUUCACGAGAUCCUUCUCGCUGGAGCCCGGCCGCCUCGUAUCAUUAGUCGACAACGAUGGGAAGGAGGUUGGCAGGGGCAAGAUCUUCCAAGCGCCAGGGAAGAGCACAACGAAGAGCUGCGUUUGCGUGGUUGAUGUCACUGAGCUCAGGACCGAGAAGUGGAGGGAGCUCCCCCACCCUUCGGAGGCAUUUGGGUGGACGUUCCAGGAGGCGGAGGCGAGGAAUGGUGGCAUCAUAAGGGUCUCUUGGGACGCCGUCAGGUUGUUCCCUGUAGCGUAGAAGGCCGAUUGUAUAACAAGAUGAGUAGAGGGAAACUGUGGCCUAAGUAACAUUAUGUUAAAAGUUGUGGUUAACUGUGUUGUAUUCAUGAACUAAUUGUUUUGAGCAAUUCAGGUGGUUACUGAUUUUACAUUUUUA